ACACCCCUUCGGGGCCCUUGCCACCCCUACCAGCCCAGUUUCCAGCCACGUUUGAAAGGAUGUUCCCUUGAGGACAGACUGAAGAUCAGAGGAACUGAGCCAGGUCUCAGCCACUCCCCCUCCGAGGCAGCCUGUGCCCACCCAGGACGCCUGGCCUGAGUCCUCGGGGACACAGGGCUUCGUGGUAGGUCUGGGAACAGUCAUGGAAGAUGGAUAGAUCUGAAGUUGUUUUUGGUUUCUGCCCCAUGAUGGAGAACCAGGACAUGGACAAUAGCCACACAGAUUAACUGGGAAGUCAUUCUGAAGAACAUUCAGCUCUCCAAGGACAGCCAAACCAGGGUCAGCUGCUGGGGACUGAUGAGGAAGCGGAGACCCAGAGGGGUCAAUCUGCCAAUGCUAGCAGCUAGGAAAGGAACAGAUCUGAGUCAAGCAUAAGUAUUCCACCUCUUCGGCCUGCUUCUGGCAGAUUACGUCCUGGUAGAGAAGGGGGCCCAGAAGGAGCAGCAGCAGGCUGGGGACCUGGCAGCCCAGAUCAUAACAGGAGCAGCUUGUGGUGUUCUGUUCCAGCAGAUUGGAGAGAGUUUCCCAUGCCUCAGACCUGAGGCUGAGGAGCCAGGAUGAGAAACGCAAGAAAGAGAAGGCCCCCAAGCUCUUGGCCAAUCAGCUGCACAGAAUAUAGGUACCUAUAUGAGCUCUCCCUGCCUGGAAGGAAUAAAGUCAGCAUUAUCUAGC